rnacentral:rRNA from 1 species
UACAGAGGGUGCGAGCGUUAAUCGGAAUUACUGGGCGUAAAGCGCACGUAGGCGGCUUGGUAUGUCGGGUGUGAAAUCCCCCGGCUUAACCUGGGAACUGCGUCUGAUACUGGAGGGCUUGAGUGCGGGAGAGGGAUGUGGAAUUCCAGGUGUAGCGGUGAAAUGCGUAGAUAUCUGGAGGAACACCGGUGGCGAAGGCGGCAUCCUGGACCGACACUGACGCUGAGGCGCGAAAGCUAGGGUAGCAAACGGG